ensembl:lncRNA
UUUUUUUUUUUUUUUUUUACGAGAGCACUUUUGGAUAGCACAGAAGUUGAAAUACAAUAUUCUAAAUUCAUUUACAAAAUCAUAAAAUAAAUACAGUUGGCAUUUAAAACAACCAGAAAUCACGGGUAAUAUGGAAUGUUUACGCAGCAAGGUCUUUAAAGGGGUAAAUGUUCCUUCUGGUCCCAAAGGAAUUUAGGGUUUUUACCUUGGUGCCAAUUGCCAGCUAAGAUGAGGGCCAGACAUUUUGGAUUCCUCAGGCUUUUAGUGGUCACACAAGCAUUUGUAAGAGAAGAAAUCUUGUUCAUAGUGCCAAGAUUUUAGAAUUGAUAACAUUAGAACACAGAAAUAACUGUGGCUACUUCAUACCCAUUAGGAAAGCUAUUAUCAAAAGUUAAAAACAAAACAAAACAGAGGAUAAUAACAAGUGUUGAUGAGGAGGUGGAGAAAUUACAAGUCAUGUGCAUUGCUGGUGGAAAUGUAAAAAUGUUGCAGCUGCUGUGGAAAAUAGUAUGGCAGUUUCUCAAAAAAUUAAAGAUAGAACUACAAGUCCAUUUCUAGUUACAUAUCAAAAGAGUUGAAAGCAGGGACUCAAACAGAUACUUGUAUAUCCAUGUUUAUAGCAGCAUUAUUCACAAUAGCCAAAAGGUAGAAGCAGCUCACUGUCCAUCAAUAGAUGAAUAUAUAAACAGAAGGUGGUAUUUACAUGCAAUGGAGUAUUAUUCAGCCUUAAAAAGGAAAUUCUGACACAUGCUGCAACACGGAGGAACCCUGAAGAUACUAUGAAAUUAUGCUAAGUAGUGAGCCAGUCACAAAAGAACAAAUAUGCUAUGAUUUCACUUUAUACAAGAUAACUAGAGAAGUCAAAUUCAUAGUCAGAAAACAGAGUGUUCACUGCCAGGGGCUGGAGGGAAAAAGGAAUGGGGAGUUAUUGUUUCAUGAGUACAGAGUUUUAGUUUGGGAAAAUGAAAUCAUUCUGAAGAUGGAGAGCAGUGGCAGCUGUAUAACAAUGUGAAUGUACUUAAUGCCACUGGACUGUAGACAUAAGUAUUAAAAUGGUAAAUUUUGUAAUGUGUAUUUUACUACAAUAAAAAAAAACGAAACAAAACAUAACCAUCGGACAUAUAUAUUUAUUUUUAAAAGGUGGGGGGCCCAGUAUGUUUUUACUUUAAAAACAUAUACUGACGACGUUGGGUAGAGGCGAUACAGCACAGUGGUUUAGUUCUGAAUUCCUGAGUCAGGCUGCUUAGGAAUCCUAGCUCUGCUAUUCUUAGCUAAAGAGUAACGAAUUUCAGCUUCCUUGCACUUUAAAUCACCUCAUUUGUAAAACAAGAAUACUAAUAUAUUUAAAAUGCUUAGAAUAAUGCCUGGUAUAUAAAAACCUGUAGAUAAAUGUUAGCUUUUGUUACCAUUGGGAGUGAGCUUUAAGGUUGAUUUUGUAAGUUGUAUACUCUGACAAAUAUUUCAUUCAUCCUCUUCUGCCAGAACUAGCCUAACAGUCCCUAAAUCCCUCCAUUGUCACAAGACCCCUGUCAACUGCUCCCCUGCACCACAAGAAACUCCUGAUUACAGGGCAGGGAGCAG